UACGUAGGUGGCAAGCGUUUGUCCGGAUUUACUGGGCGUAAAGAGCGCGCAGGCGGUCGUUCAAGUCGCGUGUGAAAGCCCCCGGCUCAACUGGGGAGGGUCACGCGAUACUGAUCGACUCGAAGGCAGGAGAGGGUAGUGGAAUUCCCGGUGUAGUGGUGAAAUGCGUAGAUAUCGGGAGGAACACCAGUGGCGAAGGCGACUACCUGGACCAGCACUGACACUGAGGCACGAAAGCGUGGGGAGCAAACAGG
rnacentral:rRNA from 1 species